UAGAGCCAUACGCGUUCAGAGCCUCCACCU
rnacentral:piRNA from 1 species